rnacentral:rRNA from 1 species
UACGAAGGGUGCUAGCGUUGUUCGGAAUCACUGGGCGUAAAGCGCGCGUAGGCGGCUUUUCAAGUCAGGGGUGAAAUCCCACGGCUCAACCGUGGAAUUGCCUUUGAAACUGUUAAGCUGGAGUAUUGGAGGGGAUAGCGGAAUUCCUAAUGUAGAGGUGAAAUUCGUAGAUAUUAGGAGGAACACCGGUGGCGAAGGCGGCUAUCUGGACAAUUACUGACGCUGAAGUGCGAAAGCGCGGGGAUCAAACAGG